ensembl:lncRNA
CAUCAUUACUACUUACACAUCUUUGUUUUGGCAGCAGAUUGUUAGUGAGAUCUGUUGGGCUGGUUCCAGCUCACUCUUGGGUACACCUGGAAGAAGCCAUUGACAUGCUUGAAAUGACAGCCCUUGAAUGUGGCAACAAUAUGGACCUUUUCAUCACAAGGAUCACAGUAGCAACAGGUAUGCAUGGAGAUUUACACAAAAAAAAAAAGAAGACAGCUGAAGAAGAUGAUUGACAGGCCAUUUGCACUGAUGUGUAAAGCCAUGUCAUGGUUAGUGAAUAAUCAUGCCUGUUGCCUUCCAGGCUUUUAUGGUUAGAUCAGAUGUGCCUGAACAUAUGUUGAGCAAAUGCACAGGAGUAAUCACCAGUGAAAAGUUGAAAUCUCAUUUUGAGCACCCACUUAAAAUGAUUUAUUAUGCUAAUGUAACAUUUAAGAAAACAUAAGAAAACUGUCCUUCAGUUACCCUUUAAUGAAAUGUUUUGUGAUUUUAGUAAGAAAAAAAAAUAAUA